GAAAGAAAUGCAAGGAUGUUCUCCAGUUGCAAUCCAACAUAGCUAGCUAAUUUAUAUGAAAUUAUAUUUUGGAGAAGGAAGGUAGACCGCUAACUGAAUAGGUGAGUUUUUCAAUUGGGAUCAAUGGCUCUACCAACCCUCUCUGCCCACAUUGGCCGAGUCGAGUUCGUUCUCUGGAAAGCCAGAUGGUGCGGCAUGCGGCAGGGGGAACAGGAGGCACGUUGGCGGCAACACUGGGUGCUGCACUCAAUGCACUAAAGGCAACAACAGAACAUUGAGGCGGACUGCAGACUCCUGCCAGACCUGUUGUAGUAGGAGCAAGGCGGAGGGCGGUGGCGGACACCGCCUGGAAGAAGCAUGUCAUCGAGGAAUAGCUGCAGUUGGAGAGGCGGUGGGAGGCUGUUUGCUGUCCUGUACAGGGAGAAGUCCCGGCGUGUUUGGGAGAAGUGGGAGGCAGAGUAGGAGAGGAGAGCCAGGGAGAGGCUCAUUCAGGAGGCUCUUGCAGAUGGAGCUCAAGAUGCAGGAGAACCGUCAGGCUCAGGAUGAGUCUCUGAGGAGGCGGGGGGAGGGCUGAUCCAGGAGCCGGCGAGGCAGACCAGACGCCGAGAGGGUGUAGUAAGACGGCCAAAGGACGCGAACAGGAACAGCCUGUGUUGACUGGGGUGUCACAGGUGAAGGAGAGGGAUUCCCUAAGGCUGCAGGAGGAUGAGCAGAGGCUGGAGACUCAUAGGAUGGCCCAGCAGAGCUACCAGGACAAGAAGUUAAAGGAUGAGAACAAUACAUGAACAAAACGGAGACGUUACAAAGGGAUCUAAAAGCCCUGCGACGGUGGUCCUGAUGGUCAGUUGCUGUUCUCCUUGGUGGUGAUGGUGACAAGCUGCUUGGCAGCUUUGGCAAUGUCAUAGGCACACUGGAUAACCUGCUGGGUGACCAGCUGCAUGUCGGGCCCUGGGCCUUCCUCGGGGGGCGCCGCCUUCCGACACUCACCCUGGAGCCGAAAGGAGCUAGACGUCAACAGGCGCAGGGGGCCUCUCACCAUCUCCGAAUGGGGUCUCUGGAAAGAACAAAGUAAGGUGAGAUUAGGUUAAACACAUGCGACUAUGAGCUGGGUUGUGUUCAUUAGGCAUCAAACGGAGAAAGUUUCUUUAUGUUGCAAAACAUUUUUAAAUACCUUUGCAUUUGAGUGAUGGAACCAUGGAGCAUUUGUAAGCUUACCUUGGGAAAGAGGGCAGCCAUCUCGGUUACGGCCACAUAUAUUCUUUCGGAGCAGGGUAUAAAGCUGUAAAAGAAAAGGCAUCAGGAGAGUGGUUAAUAAGACCGCCUCUUAACGGAAUUAUUUCAUGGAGGAAAUCCAAAAUUUGGGAUUAAAAAGUUACCUUUUUGCGAUCCCAAAACAACACUAUUCAAAACAAGUCACAAGUUAACUUUUUAGUCUGGGUGAGGAGGGGAGGCAAAACACAACACUGGCAGAGCUACAUGCUGGAAAACAAACCCGCAGUCCCAGGUUAGUGCUUGGUUAAUCUAUUUUACUAUUCCAAAUAUUAUAGUCAGACAGCAGCUACCAUAAUUCAUGUAGCCUGGAUGCCAAUCUGUUUCUGCACUAUGGAGUAGGCAAGAGAGCAGAGGUAGUGGCAACCAAGCUACUGUAUAAUUCACGGUUAAAUGAUGGGAGUGAGGGAUUAGAGCUGAUCAUGUGAUAAACUAUCAGCUACACCAAAACAAAAUAUGUAUUUUUUUAAAUUGCUCAUUUGGAUAUUAGACAACAGGGCACAAUUCCUUAACCUAAACGCAUACAUAAAUUAUCUAGAAUUGAUAAGACUGCUUGUAAAUCAUUAUGCACUUGGUGAUGGACUACUAUGGAUGCAACUAGCUCCAGCUCUACUCUAAAACACACGGAAUACCACACAUGGGUACCUUGAAUAUCAAAAGCCCUUUGAUGGGUUGUCUGAGUUUAGUUGAGGUAGUGGUGUUUGCGCCGAUGUUUUGCAACGGAAGAAAUUAAGAGAGUAGGUGAGUGAGAGUUCAUUAAGAUCAGUCUUUCACUCUGCCUAGCAGAUGACAACACCAUAGCAAAGGAGGAAAUCAUCGGAAUUGGGCAACAGAGCAGGGGCAGGAGAGAGAGAGAGAGAGAGAAGACACUGUGCCUGGGAGGCAGGGACAGAGGCUGGUAGAGUACCGGGAGGCAGGAUCGGGGGAGCACAGGCUGAGGGGCUGCACGGGAGAGUGGGCCUUCUCAGCCCAGGGCACCAGGGUGCUGAAACAGCCCAGACUGUGCCUGAGCCGGCGCACACCCUCACAAGGUCUGCUUACAGGAAUGGUAAAGGCACGGGGAGACACCCCCACCCCCGAAAGAACGAAAUGCCAGCACGAGGAGGGAGGAGGGGAGAACACAGAAAGUGAAAGAGGUGAAAUCAUAGGGAAGAUUAUAUUUUUAAAAAUUCAAAAACUGAACCGAGAAGAAUGCAGAACUUUAAUAAACAGUAACAGUGGGGGAACUCGAGAAGAAUCUAGAAAGUGGAAGUACUAUGAAUACAAAAAAGGGAAAAAGUGACGCUGCAAUAAUGAAUUUGGUUAAGCAAAAGUGGGGUAGCUAUCUGGAACUUUUCAGGAAACACAGAAAAAGCCUUGUUUUAUCUCCAUUGAACUCUGUUGUAACUGUCUCUGUUAAAUUCGGCUUAAUUGUUUGAGCUUGUGGCCUGUCACUUCUUCCUCACCUGUCGUGCUUGUUCUCCUGCGCGGCACGGAGCAGCUCCUGGAUGUUCUUGGUGAUCUGCUCCGUCUUACGGAUGACAUCCUCAGUGCUGGGGAGCGCUGGGUCCGGUUCUGCCCCCAGGUCAUCCAGCUCAGGGAUGGAGCUGCCCUCCCCCAGCCAGCCACUGCUCCUCAGCCUCCCACGUCUACUAGGGGGUAGACAGGAUCAUCCAGGAUGUUACGACAAUCUCUGCACCCUACAUCCAGCCCUACUUGUCCACCUGAUGUGCAACACAGAAAUCAGUGGCAACUUCAAAGUGACAGUGUGUGUGUGUGUUCCUACCCAGAGUCCUUCAUCUCAUAGUCAUUGGUUGUGUUGUCAUAGUCACUGUCUGGCAUGCUGCUCUGCUUGUCCAGCUUGGAGGCCUAACAUGAGGGAGAGAAAACGAGAGUAACAAAAAUGUGUCACAGUGACAAAUGCCACUGAUAAUGCAAGCAGAAAGAGGAUAUAGAAUUAUAGAUACAAUCACAAUUUCAAUGUAUCAUACUCACAACAUACAAAAUAGUUUCUAGCAGUGUAGCGCAAACCAUAGCAUUUUAUUCUAGGCCUAAAACGUAAAUAGUAGCUGACAUAAAUUUGACUUUGAAACAGUUUUACUAACAACUUGCAUCGUUGUAUGGCAGGGGCAAAUUAAAUGAACUAAAACCAUGGGAAAGCAACAAGGAGAACGACAAUGCAUUAAACAAGUCAACAAACAAAAGCAUGUAAGCACGACAGAAAAUCAUAGUAAAGCCUUUUAAAUUUCAUUGCCAGGGUUAGUAAAAAGAGGUUAUCCGGGGGUUCAAAACAUGUUUGUUUUUUACCCUCACACAAUUGGAAAAAAUAGCAAGUUCAAUGUCUAUAAGCUAUUGUGACAUAAACCACACUGGACAAAUGGAAUGGCUGAUUGAUUGGUACCAUGGCAAGUGGAGAUGCUAGGCUGGUUCAAUGUCUAUAAAAACCUUUGAACUCCUGCGUGUAAAAGAUGGAGACUUAUAGACGAUAUUAAUUAAACCAUGGCGAUGAAUCAAGGGCCAAAUGCAUAGUCCAGGAAAAGCUUCAAACACUGCUGUGCUGGCUGCACCCCCUUUUUAAAGGCAUAUGCCAAGACAGAUGAGGUCAGGGAUGUUUGAGGAGAGAGAAAUCACUGGAUAGCUAUCACACAGAAAGAAACAACCGCUUCGGAAUUACAUCAGAACCAUGAUCCAUUCCAGCUCUCUGAUCCAAGACUUUCAUUAAGAGUCAUAAUAACUUUCAUGUUAUGGAAUCAAGGUUCCGAUGAAUUCGGGUCAAAAGUCAAGAGGGGAAAAAAAGCACUGUGACCAUCUAAAGUUGGCUGUACUCAAUACGCAAUACUGUGUGGUGCUCCACCCAGCCUGUAAGCAUUUGUGCUGCGUCACGAGACUGGUGGACAAUAUUGCUUGAGCUGUACUCGAAUAUCAGAUAGGAAGGUUUGGGUGCACAGCACUGACCCCGCACUGUCACAUCCGCGCAGAUCCCGCCCUCUUUCUGCACAGAAGAGAAACUAUGUAGAGGAGGUGCGUUUUCAAAGAAAGGAGCAGAGACAAACACCAAGAGGGACACAGGCCACAUACCGUACAGUUACAUACCCUUUCCAGCCUAGCCCAAAAGACCCGCUCAAACAACAUCCUCUUCCUGUCUGCAGGGCAAGAUGCCAAGACCCGCACAAACACACACUACAGCAAACUGCCGAAAGUGGGAUUAGCUCAUACAGGUGUUUUGUUGAUUUCUCUCCCACUGGGCUUGCAGUUCUGCGCAUUUCAGUCAAAGGCCCAGUCCAGAAACAACCUCUAGCCCUUACCCCCUAGACACUUGUGGAGAUCUAAGGAGAUUUGAUAGGUUUGAGCAAUAUGGUGAUAGCUCCACCUUGCCCUCUGAUAGGUUCAGUGGAAUUGUUUUCAUAUUGCUUUAAAUCUACUAAAUCCUCUCAGAUCUUCGACAAGAUCUCAGCAAGUGUCUAGGGGGCAGGGGCUGUUUGCUUCUGGAAAGGUCCACAGUCUCAGUGAGGAACAGACUCUUGGAUAACAGGAGAGUUUGGGUGUUACUAGAAGGGAGGGAGGGAGUGCGUGCUGGAUGAAGCUCACUGGGCGACAGCCGUGUGCUGAUUAGAGAUGGAGAAAAGAGGUCAUCAAUUUUUUGGAAAUAUAGCAAAAUGUUGGCUCUGGAGGUGGAAGGAGCCCAAGGAUUUUUUUUUUUUUGGUUAAAAUUUACAGCAUGAGGAAUGUAAGAAAGAAAUCUCAAUAGGCUGAGCGCUUAACCUGGCAGCUGGUCUCAAAGAGGGUUGGCAAACAUUGAGAUGGGUGUGUGAUCUUGACGCAUAGUGCUGCUACAUUGAAAACCUUCUAGCUGAUUGUAACAGGUGCGAGGAUGAGGACAGUGAUGGUGAUGAAGGGAAGGCAGCCCAUGGGGUGGUAGUUUGGCUCAUGCAGCAGGACAGGUAGGGAGGGAGGACAGGGGCUUCCCCAGUAGAUUUGCUGCGUCCCCGAGAGGCACGGACCAAGCGAGGGGGUACUUAACCCGUAGAGCAAUUUUGUCCCGAGACCAGGACAGGGUGGAUGGGAAGGAGGGGAGGGAUGAAGAGGUCACAAAAGCACCCCUUCCUGUCUAGAAAGGGGUUCAAAUUAUGUUUGUUUUUUUAAACUAGUUAGUGCUCUCAGGAACAAAGUCUUGUUUAAACCACAUCAUGCAAAUAACAGGGUUUGGGAGCACUAAAAUAAAAAUAAUUAUUCAAGAAAACAAAACCAUAGUAAGAAUGAAGAACAGCAUAAAUUGUGAUUAUGACAAGGAAUUACACUUAAAUAACUGCAUUUCAAUUCCUUGCUGGAUCUGAGCAUACUGUACCUCAAAUCCCAUACAUUGAACAUUAUAAAACAUCUAGACAAUGAACAUGUUUUAUUAUUUGAUAUCUCAAAGUACACGUUUGUUUCCUGGACAUUGAAAGGGGCAAUCCGGGAUUCGAACAGCAACAAAGCGUCACCCCCCACCGGUUUUGGUGAACAGCUGAGGGAAUGGGUCCCAGAGCGACUUACAAAUUGGUGCAUUCACCUUAAUGGACAAAGCCGUUACUGGCUAGGUUAUUAACGCUUUAGGUUUGCUAAUUUAGCUAACGUAGAUUCAAAAUACGUGACGUUUCAUGACAUUAUCAAAACAUUAUCAAGUCGUAGCAAACGUUAGCUAGCGUAAAAUUCGCAUUUGUAUUUACAGAGAUACUGUUGAAUAACAUUGCUUACCGGUCUACGUUUCUUCUCCAAAAUAUAAUUUCAUAUAAAUUAGCUAGCUAUGUUGGAUUGCAACUGGAGAACAUGCAAACCAUCAAAUUCACAGAGCUUCAGAUGAAAGGACAGACGAUCCAUGAGAUUGCAGGGUAAAGCUAACUUCUUUUUUUAAAGUUAUAGACUAUUGUUUACAAUUACAUUGUUAACAAACAAUGGCGUGAAACAAUCUUGCACUUUGAGUUCUGACGGUGUAGAACAAAUAGAUGUGCCAAUCCCGAAUUGCUCCUCUUAAAUACUGUACCAGAACUAAGCGAUUCGUGACAAUUAGAAAAACACUCAAUUCCCGUGCAUGUUUAAUUAAAAGAGAAAUGACA